CCUACGGGUGGCAGCAGUGAGGAAUAUUGGUCAAUGGACGAGAGUCUGAACCAGCCAAGUAGCGUGAAGGAUGACUGCCCUAUGGGUUGUAAACUUCUUUUAUAUGGGAAUAAAACGUUCCACGUGUGGGAUUUUGUAUGUACCAUAUGAAUAAGGAUCGGCUAACUCCGUGCCAGCAGCCGCGGUAAUACGGAGGAUCCGAGCGUUAUCCGUAUUUAUUGGGUUUAAAGGGAGCGUAGGUGGAUUGUUAAGUCAGUUGUGAAAGUUUGCGGCUCAACCGUAAAAUUGCAGUUGAAACUGGCAGUCUUGAGUACAGUGGAGGUGGGCGGAAUUCGUGGUGUAGCGGUGAAAUGCUUAGAUAUCACGAAGAACUCCGAUUGCGAAGGCAGUUCACUGGACUGCAACUGACACUGAGGCUCGAAAGUGUGGGUAUCAAACAGGAUUAGAUACCCCUGUAGUC
rnacentral:rRNA from 1 species